rnacentral:rRNA from 1 species
GUCGUAACAAGGUCUCCGUAGGUGAACCUGCGGAGGGAUCAUUACACAAAUAUGAAGGCGGGCUGGAACCUCUCGGGGUUACAGUCUUGCUGAAUUAUUCACCCUUGUCUUUUGCGUACUUCUUGUUUCCUUGGUGGGUUCGCCCACCACUAGGACAAACAUAAACCUUUUGUAAUUGCAAUCAGCGUCAGUAACAAAUUAAUAAUUACAACUUUCAACAACGGAUCUCUUGGUUCUGGCAUCGAUGAAGAACGCAGCGAAAUGCGAUAAGUAGUGUGAAUUGCAGAAUUCAGUGAAUCAUCGAAUCUUUGAACGCACAUUGCGCCCUUUGGUAUUCCAAAGGGCAUGCCUGUUCGAGCGUCAUUUGUACCCUCAAGCUUUGCUUGGUGUUGGGCGUCUUGUCUCUAGCUUUGCUGGAGACUCGCCUUAAAGUAAUUGGCAGCCGGCCUACUGGUUUCGGAGCGCAGCACAAGUCGCACUCUCUAUCAGCAAAGGUCUAGCAUCCAUUAAGCCUUUUUUUCAACUUUUGACCUCGGAUCAGGUAGGGAUACCCGCUGAACUUAAGCAUAUCA